rnacentral:rRNA from 1 species
GACGAACGCUGGCGGCGUGCUUAACACAUGCAAGUCGAACGGAAAGGCCCUGCUUUUGUGGGGUGCUCGAGUGGCGAACGGGUGAGUAACACGUGAGUAACCUGCCCUUGACUUUGGGAUAACUUCAGGAAACUGGGGCUAAUACCGGAUAGGAGCCCCUGCUGCAUGGUGGGGGUUGGAAAGUUUCGGCGGUUGGGGAUGGACUCGCGGCUUAUCAGCUUGUUGGUGGGGUAGUGGCUUACCAAGGCUUUGACGGGUAGCCGGCCUGAGAGGGUGACCGGCCACAUUGGGACUGAGAUACGGCCCAGACUCCUACGGGAGGCAGCAGUGGGGAAUAUUGCACAAGGGGCGGAAGCCUGAUGCAGCAACGCCGCUUGCGGGAUGACGGCCUUCGGGUUGUAAACCGCUUUCGCCUGUGACGAAGCGUGAGUGACGGUAAUGGGUAAAGAAGCACCGGCUAACUACGUG